UACGAAGGGGGCUAGCGUUGCUCGGAAUGACUGGGCGUAAAGGGCGCGUAGGCGGAUUAUACAGUCAGAUGUGAAAUUCCUGGGCUCAACCUGGGGGCUGCAUUUGAUACGUGUGAUCUAGAGUCCGGAAGAGGGUGGUGGAAUUCCCAGUGUAGAGGUGAAAUUCGUAGAUAUUGGGAAGAACACCGGUGGCGAAGGCGGCCACCUGGUCCGGUACUGACGCUGAGGCGCGAAAGCGUGGGAGCAAACAGG
rnacentral:rRNA from 1 species